rnacentral:misc_RNA from 1 species
AAACGGCGCUGAAAAGGGGCGAACAGGACUAAAGCGGUCGAGCAUGACAUCCUCUAGGCUCUAGGGUUGCCAGAUACUACCUCCGAUGGCCGCCGUGGCUCGAUAGACAAAUUGGCGAUUUUGCCUUACAAAAUCAGGAUUUAAACAGAGAAUUAUGGAUAAAUGGGCGAAAUUGACAAAAUUGACCGGAAAAUCCUCGAUAUCCUGCAGGCCGACGGGCGGAUCGCCAAUGUCGAACUGGCGGAGCGCAUCGGCCU